UACGGGGGGAGCAAGCGUUGUUCGGAUUUACUGGGCGUAAAGGGCGCGUAGGCGGCCACCGCAAGUCGACUGUGAAAUCUCCGGGCUUAACCCGGAAAGGUCAGCCGAUACUGCGGGGCUAGAGUGCAGAAGGGGCAACUGGAAUUCUCGGUGUAGCGGUGAAAUGCGUAGAUAUCGAGAGGAACACCUGCGGCGAAGGCGGGUUGCUGGGCUGACACUGACGCUGAGGCGCGAGAGCGUGGGGAGCGAACCGG
rnacentral:rRNA from 1 species